rnacentral:lncRNA from 1 species
AUGCCAUUCAAGGCGUUUCCAGCGACGGCGGUAGGAGAUUUCGGUGGCGAUCGACUCCCCUCGGCCUGAGUUUCAUUUCGGCAGUGUUGGUGAUGCAAUUGGUGGCCGGAGUUGGAAGUUUGCGGUGGAGAGAGAAACUGGAGGCAGCUAAAGUUUUCAAGCUUUUUCGACGAGUUUCGGCGAGCUAUGGCCGAUCGGAGGGCAUAUCCAGACUCUCCUCAGCUCAAGCUUUUCAAUGGCACCAGUUUCGCUGCGACCAGAUUCCGUUUGAAGAUCGUUUGUAAAUUUCUCUGGAUGAUUAGGGGUCGGAUUGGAAUAUCAGAAGUUGGGAUCGUCAUCAGCGCAUUGUUUCAAGUCCGUAGGCGCAUUCAGAUCGUCGAUCGGACUCCGACGGUUGGAGGCGAGUCGACCGAGUGAUCAAACGUCUCGGUAAUUCUCUAGCUGUUGAUUUUAGAAUUUAUUGAUAAAAAUUAAGUGUUUAAAUUAUUGUGUUGAAUAUUAGAAAAAUUAUGUGAGGCUUAUUAGUUAACAUAAUAACUUGUCGGACCGUUUGCCAAUAAUCGUGUUUUAUGCUGUGUGGCGGAGUCGAAAAAAAUAAUGUAGUAUAGUGGCCCGACUCCUGUUAAGUAAAUUGUUAGAUUAUUUGAAGUGUUCUCUGGCAGGUACUGGACCCGUAAUACGAGGGGUAGACGUCCGUAUUUAGGGGAGGUUCUGCCAAAUUUUCGGUAGAAUUUACCCGAUUCAAAAAAAAGUUUUAGACAGUCAGUCCUAAGAGUCUAGGCCUAGGGUUAAUUUUCAAAUAUUUUAACAUUAUUGAUUGAAUUAUUUUCUAUGAUUAGAUAAUCCGUGAGUUCGGCUCGCUCCACCUGAGACAUCAUAGCAGAGUUAGGAGGUAGUCAGAGUUGUGAGUUAAAGUCAUAUGUCUGUUUACAUGUGUCAUGCCAAGAUUUUAUGAAAUAGUUCUAAUGACAUGAUUUAAUAUUUUAAUUAUUUAUUUAUUUACUAUUUAUAUAUGUUUCAUUUUCUGCAUUAUGAUUUUAUUGAUCGCGUGUUGACUCGGGAUGGGACGGCUGUAGAAUAUGCCACCAAAUGGGUUGCAUCAGGACCGUGUGCGCACUAGUUGGAAUGUGAGACUCAUAGUAAAAAAGAGUAAAUUUAGAAAGGUAAAUUUAGGAUUUGCCCUGGUCGAGCAUUGCUCUCUGGGCUGAGUAGAGUGUGAUUGCCGGAGUAAAGGUCCUUGAUCGAGUAUUGCUCUCUUGGUGUCGGCUUAUUUAGAAACUUAAGUGACCAGACUGGACUUAAGGACCCUAGUCGAGCUUCGCUCUUUGGGCGCUAGUCUUAUUGGAGUAAGAGAGCCGAAAGGCUAAGACUGUUAAUGAUAAUUAAGUGAUCGGACUGGAUUUAAGGACCCUAGUCGAGCUUCGCUAUCUGGGCACUAGUUUUGUUGGAAUGAGAGAGUUGAGACUGGUAGUAUUGGGGCUAGGGUUUCUACUGAGGUACUUCGUCCCAGAGUAUGAAAUAAGAUUUAUUUUAUUUUACAGAAGUAUAACAUGACAUGUAUUUUAUUUUAAUUAAAUAAAUAUUUUAUUAGAGUUUUAUAUUUCGUUUUGGGAUAUAUGAUUUUAACUCACUCUCGAGACUGAUAGUCUGAAUUUUACUGUUUUUCAGGUGCGGUUAGUUUUCUGCAGUUCUUUUUAUCUAGCACCCCGACUCCUUCAUCCUCGGAUUAGAUGUAGCUGAAUUCAUUGGUAUGUUAACUUUUAAAAUUCUAGAUUCUCCGCAGUAGAAAUUUUAGACUUAUCAGUUUGUAAUUUUAUGUAAAUUCAGGUCUUGCCUAAUUAUGCUGGUAGACCGAAUUAAAUAUGUAGGAUUUGAUGGUUAAGAUUAAUUGUGAAUCAGUGCUUUGGAUUGAGUU